UGAGGAACCCACAGCUGGGAGGGUCAUCUGACCUUAAUUCUUUGCUCCAGCUGGGAUAGGGGGGGCGGACUUCUAGAUGUGGGAGGGGAUGUCCCAAGCAAAGCAUUCAUUUGCCAAUUAGUGAUUGCCAAAUCCUUGACACCUGACAUGCACAUAUUUAAAUAGACUGGGUGUAUAUCUGACACCUGCCUGUGAUCCUAUCUUCAUACUAUGCUGGACACACCACACAUAGGAUACGCUUUUUCUUGCUCUCUCUGGAGAUCGCUUCCAUACUCAUAUUCUAAACAUUUAAUAAGGCAUCACUCUGGCAAUUGCUUUGCUGGGCUCCCCCUCCACCUGUCCGGCCCGCACUCUCUGACUGGACUUUUGGAUUUUUUCCCAGUUAUACUGUGGGUCCCUGCAGGCCACUCUUGUGGGGCAUCGUUGAGGCCUU